rnacentral:rRNA from 1 species
AUGGCAGCGUCUCUCCAAGCCGCGGCCACGCUGAUGCCGGCCAAGAUCGGCGGCCGGGCCUCCUCCGCGCGGCCGUCGUCGCACGUCGCCCGGGCGUUCGGCGUUGACGCUGGCGCCAGGAUCACCUGCUCCCUGCAGUCCGACAUCAGGGAGGUCGCAAGCAAGUGCGCCGACGCCGCCAAGAUGGCCGGCUUCGCCCUCGCCACCUCUGCCCUCCUCGUCUCCGCGUGGGUGCAGGGCGCGAGCGCGGAGGGGGCGCCCAAGAGGCUGACCUUCGACGAGAUCCAGAGCAAGACCUACAUGGAGGUGAAGGGUACCGGCACCGCGAACCAGUGCCCGACCAUCGACGGCGGCGUCGACUCCUUCCCCUUCAAGGCCGGCAAGUACGAGAUGAAGAAGUUCUGCCUGGAGCCCACCUCCUUCACCGUCAAGGCCGAGGGCAUCCAGAAGAACGAGCCGCCGGCCUUCCAGAAAACCAAGCUCAUGACCCGUCUCACCUACACCCUUGACGAGAUGGAAGGCCCGCUCGAGGUCGGCGCCGACGGCACCCUCAAGUUCGAGGAGAAGGACGGCAUCGACUACGCGGCCGUCACCGUGCAGCUCCCCGGAGGCGAGCGAGUGCCCUUCCUCUUCACCGUCAAGCAGCUCGUCGCUACCGGCAAGCCCGAGAGCUUCAGCGGGCCCUUCCUCGUGCCCAGCUACAGGGGUUCGUCUUUCCUCGACCCAAAGGGCCGUGGUGGCUCUACUGGCUACGACAACGCCGUGGCGCUACCCGCCGGAGGCAGAGGAGACGAGGAGGAGUUGGCUAAGGAGAACGUGAAGAACGCGUCCUCGUCCACGGGCAACAUCACGCUCAGCGUGACCAAGAGCAAGCCGGAGACCGGCGAGGUGAUCGGUGUCUUCGAGAGCGUGCAGCCGUCAGACACCGACCUCGGCGCCAAGGCGCCCAAGGAUGUCAAGAUCCAGGGUGUGUGGUACGCGCAGCUCGAGUCUAACUAG